ACUAAUCCCAUCCCUGGGCCUGCUCUCUGUUCCCUUCCUGCAUUAGAGAUUGGCUAUAAGGAGAAGGCUGACGGCUGCAGCAUGAAGCGCAUUAUUACCUUGUGAUUCCAUGACCCUCCUCUAUGCAUCCCUAACUCUCGAAAGCUGAUUCAGCUUUCAGCUAGUGCUCUGGUGAGUCCUCUGCUGCAACAGAAGCUCCUAACUGACUUUGUGCUCUCUUCUCCUGAGCUUCAUCACCUCUCUACUCACAGAUUUGGCCCUAAACACUCUGAUGGAUUAAAGAAGAUGAAGGGGCUAUUUUCAAGAGUGGGAAUGGGCACAUCCUCAGGCACGGAGCCUGGGUACAGCCAAAUCUAGACAACUGCUGUGGGUUGGUUAUUUCCAACAUGAACAAUUCUGAUCCUAUGAGUCUGUGGCUCUGGGAUUCUGUGUUAUGGGCUCAACACAGCUUGUCCUGAGCUGGAUUCAAGCCAACACAACCUUGGAGCACAGGCCAAAGGCAGAAGAUGAGGAGGUGAGAGGAAACCUUCAGAUCUCGAGCCACAAGAAAAACUCUACCGAGCCAGCAGUUUGUGCUGGUGACCCUUCUGGAAGGAGGGAACUUGUAGUGGAUGAGCAGGAAGAGGCACCGGGGAGUGUGAAGAAGCAAGAAAAGAAUGUUCCAGCAUCCAUUCCUACCCCUUGCCCAAGUAAGGAAUGAAGCAAUGGAGAAAAGAGCUGAUGAACACACCAUCAGAAGAGAGUAGAAGAACAUUAAUUGGCUGUACAGCAGUCUGAGCAAUAUGAAAAACUGGGAACGACUAAUUUAUGAGUACAGAUUCUUUCUGGAGAGUAUGACUUAAACUUGGGGAGAAAAUCCAUGUGCCUGGAAUAUUAAAAUCAAUAGUUUUAACCUAUUUAGAAAGAAUUCAGUGGGCAAAUGCACAGGAGGGUUAAUCAAUAUCAGAAUUGACAUUGGUGCAUUCCAAGCACCACAAGAAAACUGAAGAGAAAGUGACCUCAAAUACAAAUAAAAACCAAAAUAAGGAGUUUCUCCAGACCACCAACUCUCACUAGAAAACAGAAAUUACUCACUUUUCAGUCACAUAUCUGUAAUAUUUAAGAAAAUUUCCCUGUGCUGUCCUGGGGAACUUCAACUCAAACGAUGUGAGCUGCAGAGGUCAUAGGGCUGGUUUGGGAUUUUCUGAAUGUCCUAGAAGAGAUUUUCCUAACCAAAACCAGGAGGAUCCUCGACAGGAUCAUCCUGAAAGCUGCAGGACUGUUUACAGACCCCAAAAGGGGCUCAGCCAGCACAGAGGUGACCCUGUUUGAUUGUACAUGCUGGGCACAGACAGGACAGCCUGAGCUGACAGUGGGUCCCUCUGCUUUUCAGUGUUGUGAGCCAGGUCACCUGCAGGAUUUUAAACAGAAAAUGUGAGUGAUAUUUGGCAACCCCUUGUUUAAAGAAGAUCUGGCUUCUAGGAAAUCUAGUAAAACCUCACAGUUGGGAAAGAGAAGGUUAUUCUGGCUGAAAAAUGAAGCUCAAAGGACAGUGAAAGUAGGUGAACUCCCAGAAAGAAGGAAGGGAAAGUAAAUAAUAACGAACAUAAAUCAGCCCCAAGCAGAAGGCUGUCAGGUGAAACCUGUGGCUAGCAGAGCUGAGGGCAACAGGGAUGUGCUCUUUAGAUAUAAGAGACUCAAAGUAGUUGUCUAGACAGAAUAGCAGACAUUAAAAAAAGAAUACAUAAAAGGCCGAUGCUAAAUAUUUAAUUUCACUAUUUUUGGGGGAAAAAAAAGCUGAGUGAAAUAGCCAUGUAAUAUGAUGAUGUGAAAUAUCUUCUGCUCCAACUCAGGAUGCUAAACAGCUGUUACUACAGCUAGAGGAUUUUUAUUUUUGAUCAGCAGCUCCCAAUAUUCAGUGCCUGAGAGUUUUAAAAUCUGUCCCAGGAGCGCCCCAGGCUGGCACAGAGUUUUCCAGAAGACUGAAGCAGUGUUGACUUUGAGCCAAGGAAUAAAUGUCGAUGAGGAGGAUGACUUGCGUAAUUAUAAAUCUGAUUGUUUGAUGUUGAUUUUGUGGGGAAAAAAAAAAUAAUGGAAGAGCUGAUAAGGGACUUGAUUAAUAACAAUUUAAGGAGAAUAACUAAUUACAAUCAACAUGAGUUAAUGGAAAAUAGAUCUUAUUAAAUGAAAUUGAUAUAAUUUUUCAAGAAUGUGAUUAUAGAUUUGAUUGAUUUAGUACAUUUCAUCAACACUGUUACGUUUGACUUCAGCGAGGCAUUUAACUUAAUGUUGUCUCAUUUAUUAGGAAGCUAAAACAAUGUAAAAUCAACACAGCCCGUGCUAAACGGAUGAGGACCCUGGUGAUAGGUUUAGACAUAUCUGAGGAGCAUCCCAAGCAGCCUCCUUUCUGUUCAUCACUUUCAGCAAACGGUAGAAAAUCAAAACUCAUUACAGUCAAAGUUUGCUGAUGAGAUUGGGAGUGUGGAUGGGUCUGUGCCUCAGAGCUGCUCCUGAACCAGAGGGAAGUGAGCUCCACCUGGUUUGACACAAAGCCACACUUCCAGGAGCCAGGAUUUCACUGCAGGGAGCACAGAUCCUCCCGCACAGCGCUGGAAACUUGAUAAAACAGCAGAGUGAAAUAUCUCUGGUGCAACAGCUAAUGGGACAGUGCAGCUAUUUGUGGUGCCUGCGACUCCAGAAGGAUGGUGAUGAACGGGAGAGGGCACACGGGAAUGACUGAGGCGUCACAAAACAUGCCUUGCAGUGACAGCCUCAAGGACCCCAAUGUGCUUAGCUUAACAAAGGGAAGGUUAAGAGAUGGCUUAAUGACAAUCCAGAUGUAUUCAGACAGGGUACAGGGAUGCAGGGAGGGAGAGCCCUUCAAUCUAACAGACAGAGUGAUAAAAAGAGCUGGUGACUGAAAGCUGACGCUGUUAAAUUCCAUCUGGGAAGGGUGUGCUUUAUGUUUGGGAGAAAUAACACCAGAACAACUUCCCAACAGAUGGUUUCAUCAUCACUGCCCAUUUCAAACUCAUGCUGAUUUUUUUCCUUUUUUUUUUGUAAGCCAUAUCCUGGAUCCACCAAAAAUCACUGUGAAACAACACACAGGCACUCACACUGCAUGAAUGGGAUGGGCCUUUUUAGGGGGUUUAACCUUCCUAAUAAUGAGUAUUUAAGCCAUCAUCAAGCACUCAAGCACUGAAUGGAACCAUUCCCUUUCCCCACAGUUAUUGGUCUGGCCUUGGUGGGCACUCAUGCAGACACCUCAGGGCUAUUGGUGCUUCAUCUUUGCCAAUGCAGAAGCUGGAAAAGUCCUCUAAAACUCCAUAAAACAAGCCCAGCAAUUCCCCUGCUAUAAAAAUACCCCAAAAUGCAGUGCCAAAUGCAGUGCCAGAGGGAAAAGCUCACAGCUCAAAGCACAUGAAGAACGUGCAUUCCAGUGGUUCAGUAAAAUCCUGCUGAUCCCCAUCUGCUGCCAUAGCUUGAUGGACUUUUAGGAAAAUGGCACAUCUCUGUUCCUUAAGAAUUGCUAAAAUUGUGAGUGGAAAAGGUGCAGUUUCAUAACAGACUCAUCUACACCCAGGACAACAGAGAAUGAGAGAGUGCUGCAAUCUUGGGGACUUUCUGCAGGAGCUCCAUCAGGUCUCUGCUCUCUGGUUUGGAAGCUGCUGAAAUUUCCCCUUCCAUGGAAAUUAUUCAGCAGAAGUCCCAGCUACAGAUCCCUCAAUCAGGAAACUCCAGGAGCCACACAGGGACUUCUCCUGGGACUGGUCUGAAACACCCAGCUGAUGUUUUACUGUGCAUUCAGAUGUACUUGGGGACCAAACAGGUAUAAAUGUAUAUAUAUAUAUAUAAUUUUUUUUUCUUUGGAUACUAGGCCAUUGUAUCUGUGUUUUAAGCUCAGAAAACAGUGUCACAAAAAAAGUUUUCCUUCCAAAGAAAUACUGUGAUUGGUAGGAAUGAUUAGAUAAGAGCUGAUACCAAAAAACUUGACAACUAAAGUUGUUUCAUAAUUGAUUUCUAUAUAUGGGACUUUAUCUUCUGGUGAGGUCUUUACCUUUAAAAGCAGGUCUGUACCUUACAGAAAGGAUAGAAAAGAGAGGUCAUUUGCUAUCUUAUCUUGUAAUGAGAUCAGCAAAGAAAGACUUUUAAGGCCCUCCACAGCUUAUUCAUGAUAUCAGUGUGGUUCUUCAAUUGCAGAAUCAAUCCAGGUGUAAACUGGGAUGCUGGGACCUUGUCUCUUCCCUUCUGCCUACACCAAAGAGCAUCUGGGACCAUAUCUGUGGGUCCUGAGCUGUGCUGGAUUUACCUCUGGCAUGAUCCAAGCCAUUGCUGCUGUCCCCACCAGCUGCCGCCUCUCUGCUGCUGUCACCACAGUUGAUAAUCCAGGUUAUCAGUGAGUGGGGAAGGGGCAGCACUGCAGGACAUGGUCCACCACAGUCACUAACCCCUCUCCCCACCCCUCUGUGCCUCCUGCUCCGGGCAGAGACCAUCACCCAGAAACUUCUUCAGUAGUUUCAAUUCAGUCUGCCAGAGCCCUUUGCUCCUAAUGCCAUUUAAUCCAGUUCCUUGUUAGCCAGCCAAUAAGACUUUCACUGAUAUCAGGUUUUGGCCCAAGAACAGUGCAGAUCCUUUUGAACUGAACAUCUUAAGCACAACACAUUUUGUCAGGAAAAAAAGCCUGAACCAGCAGAAACUCUUUUAAAGCCAGGGCAGCAUCAUUACCAUAGAGGCAAACACUAAUUUAAUGUGUUCACAGUAACAACACACCAUUUAUUUAAAUACUUCACCCUUUAAUUUAUUCAGCAUUUUAUAUUGAAGAGUAUUUUCAUUAGGAUUCCUCUGCAAAACCGAAGAAGGCAUUAAAUCAUUUAAUAUACUGACAACUUGCUUAAUUUAUUUAAGCACAGGAGUCUAAUUCAAAAAAGCCAGACCUUAUACAGAGGCCUGUCUUUGCAGCCCUGGCAUACAACAGCCUAUUAAUUUCAGGGUAGUGCAUUACAUGAAUUUAUUUUGAGAUCCCAGGACGUGUUCUCCUCUGGUCAGCAGCCUGCUGUGGGGCUGCACCUGCCAGAGCUGCCUUUAGGAAUUCCUCCCAGCGCACACCAGUCCUGCCCCGUGCCUUUUGCUUCUGGUGAGCACCCAGCCCUUUGCAUUUGUCACCUGGCUGGGUUUGGUCCUUGGUGUGACACAGAGCGACCAGCACGGCUGGAGCAGCAGGGAAACAGAGGAAAUCAGCAACACUGGGGGCAUCAGUGAUAUCUUCAGUUUAACUCUCAUUAAAUGGCACUCAGAGCACUUGGUAAAGUCUGGGGGAUCCACUGCAGUGCACCCCUGACUUGGCUGAUAUUGAAUUAAGCAGGGACACUCAUUUCUGUGGUGAGAUCCCAGCAGCCCUGCCCUGAAGGUGCUGAGCAGCCUCAGGACUGUCCCCAGUUGUCACAUCAGAGCUCUCACACCCUGCCUGCAGCAAAUACUCCACUUGAUAUUCUGGGGGCUCAUCUCCUUGGGCAAUCCAGCCCUUGUGGCUUAUUACUGAUGUCCCCAGAUGUGCCAUAACGAAUGGCAGAGAAGAAAAUUGUCACCUGUGACAAAGCUCUGGGUGAUAUUGGGGUCCCCAGUGGCUCCUGGCUUGGCUGCUUUCUGAGAUUGGUGCUGAAGCAGAACCUGGGAAACAAUAGCACAUUCUCAAUAGGAUGCAGAGGGUGACAUUAAUAAACAUUAGGGGGUUUGAUAUGAUCAGGCAAAAGCAGCACAACGAAAUGAGGUACCAAAAGCAGGCUGGAGAGGAGGGGAAGGCACCUGAACAGGGUGUUUAAUGACUCACCCAGCUGAGAAAUGCAGCGCAGGGCAAGGCUGGGAGAGAAAACCUUUUAAUGAAUUCAACAUGUGUGCACCCUUUGAAGGCUCAGCUCCCCAUUCCCCACUGGUGUUUGACCCACCUGAAGAUAUGGAUCACACAGAAAAUAAUAACCAGUAAGUAAUAAUAAUAAUAGUAAUAAUAGGAAGAGCAGGACCUUCAUCUCCAAUUCAUAUUUAUAAUCCAGCAAAUAUCUCACCUAAAGCCACAAGAUUUAUGGGUUUGCAUCUAUAACUAAUAUCCUUCCUUAAGCAGGAAAGGGUAUGUGUUCCUACAAAUAAAUCUGGUGCUCUAGACCUGGAUUUUGAAGACUAAUAUUUAAAUCCCCAGCAAGACACAGUUAUUGAUUGCAUAGAUGUAUACAACAAAGACACACCGUGCACAUUUAGAGAGAUAGCAUUGUACAGCUAUUUUAAAAAGAAAUAAAGUUUCUCUUUUAAAUGCAAUAGAUUAAGCUUAAUCAGGUAAAAAAAGGAGGAAGGUUGGCUUGGUGUCUGCUCCAAGCUGUCCCAAUUUCCCAGAGAUUUCAUUUGCAUCAGGCCCUAGCUAAAAGCAGGGCUGGUCCUGGGCGCCAAUACACAUAAAGGGCUUUGAGACAAAGGUAAUCGAUUUGGUUUUACUGUUAUGAGGAAAAUAAACAGUCAGGCUGAUAUAACAGUAAAAGGGUCAAACAGGGUCAGGGCUAAUGAAGUGACUUACAGCAGGUUGGAAUUAAAACACCCUCCCUUUUCUCCAUCCUCCCCUCCAGGAGUGAUCCCUGUGAAUGCCCAAAAUCACACCUGUGGGUGACAGCAAAGCACCAGCUAAGGGUCAUUCGGGGCUGGGCAGUGGACUUGCUUUAGCUGAGGGUUUUAAUGGCCAGCAGCACCCUCUGAGCUAUGGAAAACUCCAACCAAGGCAAGCCCUGCCCUUCAGCUCCACAUCAUGGACCACAGCCACUGCACAUAGUCAGGGAGGCUCAAAGGUGCCCAGAAUCAUCACUCCAGAGCUGAACUGGCACUUUCACUGGUGGUUGGAGGGUCCCUUUUUCCUCAGGGGUUUCUUUUCACUUUUGGAGUUGUAAUGAGCAAAGUGGGAAUGUGCUGGGUAAGGAGCCAAACCUAGGAAAAUACAGCUUCUCUGGAGCAAGCAUGGAUGGAUAUAGCUGAAAAAAUACUGAGAAUUACUGGAAAUUUAAAUGUAGGCACUCAACCAAGGUCAAGGGUGGAAGCAUCACCUCACUUAGAGGUGAACUUACCAAUAGAGGUAAAACAUUUCUGCUCUGUAUCUAAAGAGUAAAGACAGGAACAGAGCCCAGACACUUGUAUUUAUACUGUCCUAAGGCAUAUAACACCCCCAUUUAAUGGAGAUUUUAGUUAGUCAUGUUUAAAUACUAUUAAUAAAAAAAAUUAAAAAAGCUUUUAUGCACUCAGUCAUUUAAGGAACUCAUCAGUGACUGCAUGUGAAAGACUCAUUCAAACCUCAUGAGAAAAGAGUUUCUUGUCUCCACAUUAUGGGCUCCCAGAAGGGAGAUUAUACCCAGGGGAAGGAAGGAAUUGGCAAUAACAGUUGGGUGGUGCCACAAAGGGGUGGUGAGCCCCCAGGCUGGCUGGCUUUGGGGAGUCAGCUCCAUCACCCAUAGACUGGAGAUGGUCCUUCCCCCAAAUGUUACUUUCAAGUGUCACAAAUCCUCUGUGGGAGGAGGGAAAAGAAAAAGCAAAAGAAGCCUUCUGGUGAGCACUGUGCUGCUCCAAAACCUGGUGACCAUAGAGAAGCUUUCCCUACAGACAUGCUGUCCAAUGCACACCCUCAUGGUUUUUAUGUCCAUGCAGAACAUGGGCUGUGGGUGCCCAGACACUGCUCUUCUCUGCAGCUCUGAAAAGGAAAGAAAUUCAUGAAUGUUGCUCUGCAAGGCCAAGUACCAGCAGCACAAGGGCUUGGGAAGCUGCAACCAGUGUGGGGUACUCAGCCAAGGCAGAGCUUUUUUGCAACUUGGUUUUCAUGAUUUAGCAUUCCUGCUGUAAAUAAUUGAUACUAAUGUAAGUGAGAUAAGAGACAGACUGUCUGUGGGCUGGGAGGAAGUGGAUCCUGGUGACAUCCACCUGGAAAUGUGCUUGCGGAUUUGUCUGAAAUUAAAACGUUGAAAAGCCAAACACAAUGUCCGAGAGGUGGGGAGGGAGCAGGGGUGGGAAAGGUAAUCAGUGCUCAGCCCCAGCACUCUCAUCUCUCUAAAGAAAAGCUACCACUAAUAAUUUCCCUAAUAAGAGAAUUCCUGCACUAACUAGCACUUCCUCUCUCCCUGAACAUGGUUCUCACACUAGUCUAUAAGCUGUGUUCCUGCAUUGCCAGGGAGCUGGGUGGGUGUUAGCACAAUUUAAGGAAUUAAAAUGUCAUUAAGGGGGUGCAUGGAGCACAGCCUUCCUCGUCGGACACCAUGCCAGCAGGAAAAUGCCAGUGAGCUCAGCGUAUCUGAUGCCUUUGGCUUAGGUUAUCUACAACCAGCUGAGUACCAGGAAGGAGCUCUCCUGAAUCUCAGGCUUUGAAACUGGAGAAGGCAGAAUUAUAUCUCUGGUCCUGCGAGGGCGGCUGUGAGACGGGCGAUGGAGACAAUCCUGCUGGGUGGGGAAGGGGAGAUUUCCCUGCUGGGAACCUUGGAACCCAGCAUGGCCCCAGGACCAUUACACCAUAUCCAUUUCUAAAUCCUGAUGUGGAGGCUGCUAUUGGCAUUUCACAUCCUCUGAGGAGUCUGUGCCCGGCGGCAAACCGACAUUCACUUCCCCCCGCAUGACAUAAUGCCUGUUUUCAUCCUGUCUAGUGGAUAUUAAAAAAGAUAAUGUCUGCUGAAAAAAAAAUUAAAAUGACAUCACUAUUGAGCCACUUUACAGCUCUCUGUUUCUGUCUCUCGUGUGUCUCCAUCUUCACAUCCCACCUGUGCUGCCUGUUGCUCAUCAGCCCAAGGACCAUCCUGUGGCCACUGCACAAGGUAUGUGUGCCUGAUGGUUUUAAUUUGCUGGAGGAUUCAAGUGCCAAAGUGAAAGGAAUUUCCCAAGGCAAUUCCUUCAUUUUAAACCCCUGUAAACAUAGGGAAGGUCCCUCAUGUCCUCUGUCUCCCAUGCCUACAGCAGGCAGCUUGUUGUACUCCUCUCCUGAAGGCCAUACCUUUACACAUUACUCUGGUGAGCACAUAUUCAGGGCUCUAAAUUUGUUUUAAAAUACACUUCUUAAUCUAGAGAUUUCAUGCAGAAAGGAAAAAAAAAGAGGAGAAAAAAGCUGCUUUGGAAAUGUUAGGAAGGAGCAGCACUGACUCAUCAGUGAUAUGAAUGGGGAAAGCCAGAGGGACCUUCUCAUCUCUAAUGUGAUUUUAUGAUUCAGUGAAUAAUGCAUAUUAGCAUAAUACUAACUAAAAAAAUCCAUACUCAUCAUAGAAUCACAGCUAUCAACAUUAUCCUAUUAUUAAUUAUUAACAUUUACACUAUCAAUCAGCCCCUGGCUGACUGAUAGCUUAAAAUCUUGCAUAAAGAUUGUUACAACAAUAGCCACAGUACAUCACGUAAUGUGCUUCACAGUCGGGUUGUCAUAUCCUCAUCUAUAAAGCUUUUUACUAAUGCACUUUACAACAUAUCUUACAGUACAUGGAUGAAGAAUGUGGCUGCACCCAGUAAUAAUUCCAUUAAUUAUGAAUAAAGCAUUUACAAAUGACAUCCUUAUUUAAAAUUAGUGAUGAACACAUUUGGGUUUAAUGCAGAUGCACUGUGUAAUUUGUAAUUGGAUAAAAAGCAAUGCUGGCAACAUGGGGUAGGGAAAAAGGGCCAAGAUCUUAUGGUCUUUGCAUCAGCAAGGAAAGAGGAGAAAAAACAGUGGAGGAAAUGAUUGACAAACAACAAAACAUUGGCAUAAAGCUCACCAAACUCCAAGGUGAUGCUUGAAAGCAAUGAUUAAAGGUGCCCUGCAGAGCAGAAAGGGAAAAAUCCUUACCCACUGACCUUGCAUUGCAGUUGUGUUAAUAAAACUCACUCCUGUAUUAAUAAAGUCUAUAUUUUCAUUGCUUUCUCUCAUUUCAGUGUUUUCAGCUGGCUGGCAGCUCACCAAGACUCGUUAGCCACAUCCAGUUUGCCUUUGCAGUACCUUGGUACCGCUUUGUCCUGUAGGCUCUCGGGGAUGGCAGAAUAUUUAUUACAUACAAUAUUUCACUGAGGCUACUUACGUCAAGAGGCUAUAAAUACAUUACUCUUCCUGGUUUACUUAAGGGAUAAAAAGUGAGUAGCUAAGUUUACAGAGCAGGCUCAGGCUCUAUUAAUGUGUGGUCUGUUCAUUUUCAUAUAGAUCUCAAUUGUUUGAAAUUGUUUUCCAGAUUAAUCCAGUGAGUGAUUCUUGCCUUGCUGAUCAUCUCCAAGCAUUGCUGGUCUAUUUGUGCGGUGGUCAUAUCGGGUUAUUCCAUGUAUUGUGGAAGAAAGGUUAAUUUAAACUCAUCAAGCUUUUUGGUAAUAAAGUAGUGAAUAUUUAUGUGUUCAUAGUUUUCUGCUGAGAGCCUUGUGCCAAGAACUUCUUACACUGAGGUUCAACUAUUUCAAUACGUCCCAACUGGGGAGGCAAAAAUCCCAUCAGCCCACUUCUGGCCACAGAGGUGGGGGGACAGGAACUUUGGUAGCCAGGAGAAAGUCAGCAAACUCCUUUUAAUUACUUUUCUCCUGAAUUUUCCCAGUGUUUACAGCAAAGUGCCUGGAUAAUGCACAGGCCGUGGUGUUGUGUGUCUGUCUGUUAGCACAGAGCCAGAGCUUGCAUGGUGCUCGGUGCUGAGGGUGGUGCAAGGUUCUGCAGACUCAGAGAAAACAGACCUGGAUCCAUCACAUAAAGUUAAGGGGGAAAAUUGCCUGGGGAGGGACCUGGUUUUGGUUCAGGCAGAAUCUUUCUGCAGGUUUUCCAAGGAGAUGAGAUUUCAAGCCAGAGCCAAGCCGGGCAGGAAUUCUGUCUGAAUUAUUUUCACAUUCCCUUUUAAUGUCCCAUCCAUGGGUGAUACCUAGUGCAGAGCAUGACACCUGACAUGGCCCUUUCCCCAUAUUUUCAAGUUAAUAAACAUGGUGGAAAAUAAUAUACAGUGUUUAUUGCCAGCACUGUCAAGGAGGACACUGUGCAUUCCCCCUCUCCUCCCAAACCCAGGCAGUGUAGGAGAGGCUGCUGUAAUUACAGGUCUCCUUGUGCAAGACUGCUUUGAAAUUCCCAAUAUUUCUCCAAACCACCAGCAAGUUGGUUUUCAGAGCUGCCUGACAGAGAAUUUAUUUAUUAAGGUCUUGGCUGUUUGCAGCAGUGGCUGGGCAGCAGCAGUUCCACAGAGUUAUCAAAAAUCUAUUUCCUUGCAGAGUCACAAGUAAAAUAUCAAACCCCCUUUGAAAAGCCAAGUGCAACAUUUACAUUUUAAUCUCCCCAAACACUUUCCUUUCUGACAAACUGGGUUUUUUGGUCUGUGUGUUAUGGAGAGGAAAGGCAGCAGGGAUAGAGGAGAAAGGUUUAUAGCCCUGGGAGGAAGCGUGGGCUGCUCUGAGUGGCACAGUGACUGCAAGGACCGUCACCCUUCAGCACUGCUGGGGCCGGAUGAAAAACAAAAAACCGCCUGGCCCCAAAAUCUAGCAAUGCAGGGGCAUCAAACACCAAGCUGGGUUAGCAAUCACAUGUACAGGUGUAAAAAAGGGGCAGCACCAGCCCUGUGCUGUGCUGGGCACAGCUUCUGCUGGCUACAAACAGCCCAUUGAGGGAUCAGCGUGGGACUGGCAGUGCUACUAGCAGCCACUUAUCUAUAGGGGUAAAUAGCUUUUAUUCCACUGUUUCUUCACACUUCUGCCUAUAGGUUAAUUGGGAUGAAGUGGAGGGGCCCAGCUCCACAGUCUGCAGUCUGGCAACAAAAGCAGCUCAGCCUUUCCCUUGUUAUCAGCGGGGCUGAGGUCCUGCGCUGCUCUGUGGAGCCUCUGCAGCAAACCAUGAAUUAUGGAUGGAAUGAAAAAUCCCAGCCCGGUGCACUGAGGGAAUAUGCAGAGUGCAGAGUGAUCACCUUUGUGUGUGAGCCUUGCUUUGUGCCACCCUCACGUGCAUGAGGCCCAAAACACUGGGUUUUGCUUUGGCCUGCCACUCCCUCAGCCCACAGGGUCAGGAUUCCCUCCUCCUGAAGGAUGCGGGCUCUGAAAUGACAUUCCUUAAUUUGAAAAGCAUGUCCUUGUGCUUUGUGGGAUCUUCCUGGGAGCUCCUGAGGGUGCUGUGUGGAUGAGCUGUGUGGAAUUCCCAUGCAGAGGUGCAGGCAGCAGGCAGGAUGGGUGUCUGGAUCCCUGCUCCAGGCAUGUUCCUGAGCACAUGGACACACACUGCAGGUGGAGUUCCCACCCAGGCUGGCUCUGAGGGCUGAGCCAGGCACAGAGGAGCCCCCAGGGGAUCUGCAGUUCCCACCAGAGCUCCCCUUUCUUGAAGCAAAGUGUUGGAAAAGUGCUCAGCAGGCUCUGGCUUCAAGACUCUGUGAUUUGGGGAAGCUCAGUCUCUCUACUCAUAACUUCUCCUUCAGAGAGAAGCUGCCUUUCAGGAGGCAUUUUAAAAUGUCUUUUAAUUUUUAAAUGCUUUAGUUCCUCCCUUGCAAAUCCAGCUCUCUGGUUUUGUGCACCAUCUAAUCAUGUGCUUCCACACAGCCAUUUCUGAGUGUGCAAUAUCAACAUCUGUGCUAAAACCAAGGAGAAAUUUUUCCCUGAAGCAAAAUUUUGCUCUGUAUUAUUGUUACUUUUUUCCCCUAUUUAAUGAUUUGCUUGUCAUGGGGCCUCUUCAGCCUCUUAUUUCCAGGAAAUGAAGGUUCUCUGCCUCUCACUCCUUGUCAAAGACACCCUGGCAGGACAGAGCAUCGUCACCCUUCUCCCAUCUCCUAAAGCAUUUUACUUAGUGCUCACAAAACUGUGCUGCACUCAAGCACCUCACUGAGCUGGGUGCUUGAUAUGCAGCAGGUUGGCAGAAUUAAUUUAUUGGUGUUUGUACAGCCUUUUGAACUUCUCCUGUUACAUAGGUGUCAAUAAUGAUGGUAAAAACAAAAACAUUAUUUUAUUAUUAUUUUAUUGUUAUUCUGACUUUCCAUCACAGCCAAUGAUGAACAUUCCCCUGUGCAGGUAUUAAAGGUAUCCAGUGGGAGAUGCUUUGUUCUUAAUUUUGAUUAUUUUAAGAAGUCCUUCAACACAUCAAAUAAUCUCCCUAGGCAAGGAUUUAUAGGAAGGUCUUGAGAGCUGUCAGAGUAAUGUUUUUCCAGCAGUGAAAACUCGACCUCCUCUUUGAUUUUCAUUUCUGUUUUGUCCUGGAUGUAGCUGUAGCGAGUGCUCGGUCACAGCCAUCAGGACGGAGGAGAUGUGUUGUCAGUUGUUUUAUUUUUGAUCCCAUUUGAAUGUGUCAGUCAACUGCCUCGAAUCAAAGAAAGUGAGAAGGAGCCUUUAACAGUUGUGAUUGAAAACUUCAGACUUACCUUUUCUUUUUUAUUUUUAUAGUCACUAAGUAAAUGGUUGGGUCUUGUGAAUCAUAACAUUUCUAAAUAUAUCAAGGAGGCUCUUUGCCAAGCUGCUGGGGAAGGUGGUGUCUAUUCCUAUUGACUCCUUUCUCCCCUUCAGAUUACUUUUGCAUUUAAUAGUUUCAAAUCAUAAUGCAAGAAAUCAGGGACUCUUAACUAGGCUGGCUAAGGCUGUGAUUAAUGAAAGUGUAAUGCAAGCUACUGUACAGCCAUUAGAAACCAGUUAGCUAAUUAGUGUAAUCACAGAGGUGGAAAUAAUUAAGAGACCAUAAAAUAGAGGUAACCUAAUAAAAACAUUUUCCUCUGACCCAGAACUGGUGAGAAAAGGAUGGUUUGUUAGGUUAGGAACAGAGAGGAGUGAAGAUGGAAUGUUCUGUGCGUAAUCACUGUCAGAGAGGUCUCAGACAAGUAGAACAGAGCAGAUUUUACACCAACAUAACCCAGACUGCAGCAGAAUCCUCUGGCAAUGGUGCUUCACACCUCUGCAUCCCUCUCCCAUCUCAUGCACUGCCACAAUUCAGUGACAGACAAUCAAGACAGCAUGAGGCGGGAGCUGGCUGCCUUGCUCUUUCUUACUUUGUUCCUUUUCUUCUUUCCCAGGUUAUUAGUAAAUAUAAUAUUAAAACUAACUUCACUUUGCAGUGCCCGAGUGACUGACCAGGUUUGGUUUCAGGAAAAGGAGAAAUCAGUGUCCUAAGGUGUUUAAUAUGAAAAUCUUGUUAGAGGAUUUAUAGAACUCCUAAUGUAUUCAUGUAUGUUAUUCACUGUAGUUUCACAGGACUCUACAGAGUCUUUCUGGGCACAGAAUGGUGCAGUGAUCAGUGAGGGUGCCAGUCACUUCCAGAGCUGCUCCCAGGAGCUGGGUGCCAAGCAGAUGUGUCUCCCCUUCAACCCUCACCUGCUGUCUUUGCACCCAGCACCCUGGAUCCUGAACAACCCCAAAAUAUGCUCCCCAUGCAGGACUGUCCAGGUCAGAGAGAGAUGUGGGACAGUGAUGGGCUGGAUCUCACCCUUGGGGAUUAGGAGUGACCUGCCUCUGGCUGCUGGAUGAAACAGCUCCAUGUACCAGGCAAUAAAAAUUCCUAACCUGUAAUUUUCCAGCUUGAAUGGGUCACCACUAUGCCCAUCUCCAUUGGUUCUUAGCAUUUCUGCCACGGUUUGUGUGUGUUUCGUUUGACCUGGCUCUAAUGAGCAGAGAAGAGGAACAGGAGCUGCAGACACAAUCAAGGCUCAGCCGCCAGGGCUGAUGAGUCUGCCGAGACUGCUAAGUGGGUCUUCAUUAGCUAUUCACAUUCGAGGAGCAACCCUUGUUUAUUCUUCUUUCCUAGGUGAAUCUAUUUUUGAAUAUCUUUUGUAGUGAUCUUGUCUGGGGAGAUUGGAUGGAGGGCACCACUACUGCCGGUUAACUGGAUUAUUGUCCUGGAAAAACAGGCUGUGACACCAAGCUGGCAGCAAACUGCAAAGAAGAAACAAUGUGAUGCCAUUUAGAGAAGGAAGGAAUCAUUUUCCCCUGUGACAUCUCUGGUGGGAGGCAGAACUUUAUCUUCUCUUUGCAGCUCAAAUGAAGCAUCACAGCAGUAGCAUUAACUGUGCUUCCACUUUUCCAGCUUGGCUUUCCAUUAACUUUUUUCUUCUUUAUUUUGUGCUGCAGCAGGGAACACGCUUUCCAGGGAGGGUUUGAGGGUGAGUCCCUGGAGCUGCAAGCCCAGGAUGUCCCAGGUGGGUCCCCAGGCUGUGGCACAUGUGGUGUUGUUGCAGCCAAAUGGAUGAGCCUGGUGGUCUGCAGUGAAGAAGGGAAGCCUGAUUGAUGUCUACCAGCCUGGUGGAGAGGGGAUUUUGGAGCAGCAGCUCACGGUGAGCCUUGCUCCAGGCGUGCUUCCAUCCCCCAGCUCGGACAUGUGGAUCCUGGGACAUCCUCGCAGAAGGGACAGCGCUUGACCUCCGGCAGCACCCGUGGCUUCAUGUCUCAUAUGAACAUGAAGUCUCUUUUCCACACGGGGUGCUCAAACGCUCUCCUUUAAGCUUUCCCUCGGGCUGGGCCGGGCCGGUGGGGUGCGGAUCUCACCUGCCUGUGGCCAAGGCUGCCCUCUCCCGACGCGCCGGCAUCCGAGGGAUGCGCUGGCUGAGCCGGGCCAGCAUCCCCGGGCAGCGCACCCUGCUCCCUGCACCGAAGUUAAAAAAAAGUUAAUUUACUUUAACUGCAGCACUUCCCAGCUCCUGAGACUUCCCAAGGUUUUGCUGAGCCUGGGUUUAUUUAGGAAUUAUAUAGCUGCAGAAGCAGUUUCUCUCAGCCCAGCGCUGUCCUGCCCCAUCAGCACAGCCCAGCACAGCCUCGGGCAUCCCCCGAGGUGCCCAACCCCAUCACCGCCUGCCUCUGAUGCUGGAUCCAACCUGCAUCCCCCUCUGGCAUCACGGGGAUGCUGCAUAAGGAUCCUCCUGCUGAUUUCCCUUUUACCUGAUCGAUCCCAGCCCUUCCAAACCUGCCCUGUACCUUCUUCCUUUUCGUUUCGUUUUUCUAAUCUGGCAGUGUAGGUGUGAAACCCAUACUCCUCUGAGUUAUCUUUUCCCAGCUGAGUCAGUUUGUGCUGCAGACUGUGUGGGUGACACCCUCUGCAAAGCCACGUUUAGCAGCACGUUGCUCCAGGAAAGUGUUUUUAUAUGAACAGAGAUGUGAGACAAACUCUUGCACCUCUGGGGCUGGCAAACAACUGAUCCAUGAGAGAUGACUCUUUUUUUUCCCUUUGUGAUUUUGACCUUAUUUGCUGAAAGUGAAACAUCAUCCAGCCCUCCAGGAAAUACCACAAAUCUUCUAUCUGACAUGAGAACAUAAAUCUUCUGUAAGGGUUCAUCCAUUCUGCAUCUCAGGUCUCUGGAACCGAGUUGUGGACACUGGAGUGGGAAUCUCAGCCUCCUGAAUCCAGGGCUGCUGAACCUGAGCCCCUGCACCUCCCCAACCUGGGGAAAAACAUCUCCAUGGGGUUGUUGUUUACUGAGCACCAGUUCCUCCUGGAAAAAAAAGGAGGGGGGAAUUUGCCUGAAUCACCUUGAGCCUCUUAAAUUUUUGUGGGAGACAUGAAACCCUUCCCCUCCAGCUGGGUGUAUGUGUCUGAAAUGAAGCACAGCUUUACAGCCCAGAGUAACCCACUUCCCAUGGUUCAGCCUCCCCCAGUCACUCCUAGGAGAGGUUUGCAGUGCAGAGGUUUUGGGCUCUGCACCCCAUGCUCAGCAGGGCAGCCCCAGCCCACACCUCUGAGAGCACAUUUCCUGAGAGGAUGCCUGUGGCUCCCUGACCCUGCCUGUGCACCAGCCUUUGUGGGCUGUGUCCCCACCCUGCUUUCUGGGGGACCACAGAGGCCUUUCUGAGAAAGCAGUGCAGCAGCCCUGGGGCUCGCAUGUGGUUAUUUGACUACAACCGGUUAUUCGCGGUUGCAAAAUUUUCCACCUCUCGUUCACCAUGAAUGGUUCAGGAGGUUCUUUUGCUCAAUAAGUUCAUGUUUUUACUUUUGCUCCCCCUGGGCUGUAUCCCUCAGUGUGCAAACUUCUUUGCUUCAUGGUUUUUUCCCAGAGUAGGAGCACCCCAAACCCAACUGGACCCGGGGAAGGACUCAGAGCCAUCUCUGCACUUUGCUGUGUGUCCCUCUGGAUCAGCUCAGUGACAUUCCCAGCCCUCAGCCUGCUGGGGAUUAUGGCUUUAGCUGAGCCUGCAAUGACACCCUUCCAAAGGCUCCAAACAGCAAAAGUUUAUUUUUUUCUGCCUGGACCACUUUUCCUUGUUUUACCACUAGAUGGGAGAGUGAGACUGGGCUAACAGCUGCUCCCCUCCUUAUCCCGGCAGGAAUUCCGAGGGGAGAACCGAGAGAUGCCUGAAGGUCAUCCAGCAAAUCCUCCCACCUCAGCCUCGGGUAACGCCCAAAAUGGGCAGCUGUUGCUUAACCCCAAAAGUGCACUGUUAGAGGGCACUAAGGCUUGCCUGGUGCUUUCCAAAAUACCAGGAACCCCGUGGUUGCCUUCAUGGAAGGGGAAUUCACUUACACAAAGUCUGGAUAUAAUUCUUGAAGUGAAACACUUCAUAUUUUUCCUAAAAUCCACCUGUCCUAGAGCAAAGGGAGAUAAGGGAAGCACUUGCAAUUCGUCCCUCUCAUCUGUACCCCAAAUCCUACUUCCCAGGAAUCCAGGUGACCCCAAAAUUGUUUGGAGAGGUUAAAAAGUCAAACAACCACAGAAUGGUUGGGGCUGGAAUUGUCCUUUGGAGUUCAUCUGUCCAACACCCAACAGGUAAAUAUAAAUAAAGCAGCAUUUUCUCCUCUUUUACUUCUACAGGAUUUUCUUUCUCCUAUAGGAUUCUUGAGUAAGGAUCUUCCCAGUGAUACCAUUUUCCUGCAGAAAAUAAAACUGAGCUGUUGCAAUGAUUGCAUGUGCAGGAGGAGAAUUCAUGCCUUGGUCUGACACCACUCACCUCGGGAGCUGCUGUGGGCGAGGGAGGGGCAGCCCCUGGUUCAUUAAUGUCUUGGUAAAUUUACUUUAACUGCAGCACUUCCCAGCUCCUGAGACUUCCCAAGGUUCUGCUGAGACUGGGCUUAUUUAGGAAUUACAUAGCUGCAAAAGCAGUUUCUCAACCCAAUCAGAUUGUCCAGUUGGGCUAUUUUUAUUAUUGUUAGGUUUGGGGCUUUAAAAAGGAACAUCUUGCUUCCUGGGAUUUUCACAGAUUUUGCAAGAAACCUCACAGUAGACAAUUUUUCCAACUGCUUGUGUGACUACAUCAGAAGAUGCAAUUCCUGUAGAGGGGAAAUAUUCUUUUUGGAGGGUUUUGCCCUCCACCCAACCUUCUUAAUUUGCAAGUUCUCUAAAGAAGUGACUCAUCUUUAUUUGUUUAAUGCCUGGCAUAGUUGGGCAAUUGGAUGAAAUAAUUCUAAUUACUUCCCUAACUGCAGUACCCUUGUUGCCUCCGUUGGGGUCUCCUGACUUUGCCAGCACAGGAAAUAUCUGACAUUAUCCUGCCAGACAGAAAUAACAGCUUCUGUAGAAGACAAACUCUGGGUUUUUACUGGAUCGAUCUACUCUUAUUUUCCAUAAGCUACAGCCACCCCACCCUGGAUGUGCAACGAGGCCACUGAGUCACCAUGAAGGAGUGACCAGCUCAUUCACCUCCCAAGGGAAAACCAAAAAAUCCCCUCCAGAGAAAAGAGGAGACAUCUUCCUUCAGUUGAUAAUUAGAGGUGAAAAAAAA